rnacentral:rRNA from 1 species
UACGUAGGUGGCAAGCGUUGUCCGGAAUUAUUGGGCGUAAAGCGCGCGCAGGCGGCCUCUUAAGUCUGAUGUGAAAGCCCCCCGGCUCAACCGGGGGAGGGCCAUUGGAAACUGGGAGGCUUGAGUAUAGGAGAGAAGAGUGGAAUUCCACGUGUAGCGGUGAAAUGCGUAGAGAUGUGAGGAACACCAGUGGCGAAGGCGACUCUUUGGCCUAUAACUGACGCUGAGGCGACGAAAGGCGUGGGGAGCAAACAGG